GAUGAACGCUAGCGGGAGGCUUAACACAUGCAAGUCGAGGGGCAGCAUAGGGUAGCAAUACUCUGAUGGCGACCGGCAAACGGGUGAGUAACGCGUAUGCAACCUACCCUGUACAGGGGGAUAACCCGGAGAAAUUCGGACUAAUAUCCCGUAAUAAUAUCCGGAGGCAUCUUUGGAUAUUUAAAGUUCCGACGGUACGGGAUGGGCAUGCGUAACAUUAACUGGUUGGUAAGGUAACGGCUUACCAAGGCUAUGAUGUUUAGGGGUCCUGAGAGGGUGUCCCCGACAACGUGGUACUAGAGACACGGACCAGACUCCUACGGGAGGCAGCAGUGAGGAAUAUUGGUCAAUGGGCGCAAGCCUGAACCAGCCAUCCCGCGUGCAGGAAGACGGCCCUAUGGGUUGUAAACUGCUUUUCCAGGGAGAGAAACCUACGCACGUGUUGCGUGACUGACGGUACCCUGGGAAUAAGCAUCGGCUAACUCCGUG
rnacentral:rRNA from 1 species